rnacentral:lncRNA from 1 species
GAGGAUACGCCUAUCACUGUUUAAAUGAUAAUCAUAGUUAUUUGUUUUUAAAUUUUGAUUUAUCUAAGGUUUCUCUUUUUGUAUAGUUCAUGUUUGUAGUACAUAAUGUUUGCAUUCCUUGUGAAGAAUUUCUAAGAUUUCUUAAUCAAAUCUAAUCAUUUUCUUUAUGAUUUCUUUUAUUAUAAUUUUGCUUUUUCAGAGAGUAGAUACUAAUUCAUCUGUAUCAUCCCCUAAGCAUUAAUUCCAUGCUUAUCUAUUAGUAAUUGUUUUUUGACAGACCAAAGCAUGUCCUCCUCAUCUCUUCUUUUGGCAGAUCUGGGUUUUAUUCUUCCAUUUCCCAGAUUAUUUAAUCAAAUAUUCUUGGAAAAACAGGAGGGAGGGGAAGGAGGAAAGGAAAAAAGAAAGGAGGGAGGAAGAAGGGCAAGAUGAGAAGAAAGGUAGGAGUCUGACUAAAAGCAAAUUGCAGACUAGAAUAGAGACUCCCCAGGAAAAUAUUAAGUUUAAACCUUGGAGAACAAAGGUUAGUUUUCCUAACCUGCUUUUAUGGGUCAUUUGGAGCUGAAAUAGUUGCUGUUGCCAAGAAGUUCAAAGCCAAGUUUGAAAUUUGAUCACAGCAAUGUGGUCAACCUUUAUUGAUGGAUAUUUGUUAUCUUUGGUCUUGAUUUUCCCUUUAUAUUAUGUUUUCCUGGCUCAUUAUAUGUGUCUUUUGUUGCAAACUAUCUCAAAUCCUAUAUGGGAAGAGCUAAAGUGGAUUCAAAGUUCUGAAGAAUGAAUGACUUCUAAAGAAUAAGUCUUCCUUGGGGAGUGAAAUAGUUUGCAGUUUGUUGUAGUCCCACUAAACCUCCUUUGUUGAUCUUGAAAUAUUUCAUCAUACAGAAGUGCAUGUAGAAUAGUAUCUCAAAUAAAUACCCUGCAAGCACCACCAAGCAUAACACAUCUUAAUAUUUUCCACAUUUGUUUCAGAUUUUAAAAAUAACACAUUGGAAAUAGAGAUGGAGCCUCUGUGUACCCUCUUCCCCUCCCAAAAGCUUUUCUUUCUGUCCAUUCUGUUCUGCCACCUUCCACAUGCCCUCCUGCUCCUACGAAGCCUGCCUGAUGCACACUAGAUGAUGCAAAGGACUGUCCCCUGUCUGAUGACAUCCACCUGCCCAUGGCUUCUCCCACAGACAGGAAGAGGUGGACCCGUUACUACGGCAACAAGCAGUGAGGUGAUGACACUACGCUCAGGCUGCCAGCCCUGCAGGUGGGAGUUCUCCCAGUACUUUAGAACUCAGCACUUCGGGCUUCUGUGCUUCCUGAACAAAUCCACGAUCUUCAGAGGAAGAACUCUGGAAAGGGGCAGGAUUAUGGAAAGACAUGAGUAGUUGGAGAAACCUAAGUCCAUACCACUGGGAUGAGUCUCAG